rnacentral:rRNA from 1 species
UGAAUACGAGACGCUAAGGCGUCGAAGUAGUGUAUGUCAUACUUCCAAGAAAAGCUUGCACUGUCAUAGAUAAAAAACGCCCGUACCAUAACCGACACAGGUGGGUAGGUAGAGUAUACUAAGGGGCGCGAGAUAACUCUCUCUAAGGAACUCGGCAAAAUAACUCCGUAACUUCGGGAGAAGGAGUGCCUUAUUCUUAAGGUUGCAAUAACAAGAUCCAAGCAACUGUUUAUCAAAAACACAGGUCUCCGCUAAGUCGUAAGACGAUGUAUGGGGGCUGACGCCUGCCCAGUGCCAGAAGGUUAAAGAAGCUGGUUAGCAUUUGCGAAGCUAGUAACUGAAGCCCUGGUGAACGGCGGCCGUAACUAUAACGGUCCUAAGGUAGCGAAAUUCCUUGUCGGGUAAGUUCCGACCCGCACGAAAGGCGUAAUGAUUUGGAUACUGUCUCGGAGAGGGGCUCGGUGAAAUAGACUUGUCUGUGAAGAUGCGGACUACCUGCACCAGGACAGAAAGACCCUAUGAAGCUUUACUGUAACUUGAAAUUGAAAUUGGACUUUAUUCGCGCAGUAUAGGUGGGAGGCGUUGAUUAUAAUCUUGCGGGAUUAUUGGAGCCAUUAGUGAGAUACCACUCUUGUAAUGUUAGAUUUCUAACUUUGAAUCAUUAUCUGGUCAAAGAACAGUUUCAGGCGGGCAGUUUGACUGGGGCGGUCGCCUCCUAAACGGUAACGGAGGCGUACAAAGGUUUCCUCUGAACGGUUAGAAAUCGUAUCUAGAGUGUAAAGGCAUAAGGAAGCUUGACUGUGAGACCUACAAGUCGAGCAGGGACGAAAGUCGGUCUUAGUGAUCUGACGGUACUGAGUGGAAAGGCCGUCACUCAACGGAUAAAAGUUACUCUAGGAUAACAGGCUGAUCUCCCCCAAGAGUUCACAUCGACGGGGAGGUUUGGCACCUUGAUGUCGGCUCAUCGCAUCCUGGGGCGGUAGUACGUCCCAAGGGUUGGGCUGUUCGCCCAUGAAAGCGGUACGCGAGCUGGGUUCAGAACGUCGUGAGACAGUUCGGUCCAUAUCCGGUGUAGGCGUUAGAAUAUUGAGAGGAGCCUUCUUUAGUACGAGAGGACCGAGAAGGACAUACCUCUGGUGUACCAGUUAUCGUGCCAACGGUAAACGCUGGGUAGCUAUGUAUGGAGUGGAUAACCGCUGAAAGCAUCUAAGUGGGAAGCCCACCUCAAGAUAAGUAUUCUCA